AUGAAGAAAGAAAUUGAGGCUGUUGUCUUCUUUUUCACAAGGCUAGUUCGAAAACAUAAUAAGUUGAAAAAAGAGGCAGUUGAGAGGUUUGCUGAGAAAUUGACUCUAAUACUUCAAGAAAAAUACAAAAAUCACUAGUAUCCAGAAAAAACAUCAAAAGGACAGGCUUACAGAUGCAUUCGUGUCAAUAAGUUUCAGAGAGUUGAUCCUGAUAUCCUGAAAGCUUGUGAGAACAACUGCAGCUUGUAUAGUGACCUGGGCUUGCCAAAGGAGCUUACUCUCUGGGUAGACCCAUAUGAGGUGUGCUGCUGGUAUGGAGAGAAAAACAAUGCAUUCAUUGUUGCCAGCUUUGAAAAUGAGGAUGAAAACAAGGAUGAGAUCUCCAAGAAAGUUACCAGAGGCCUUGAUAAAGUUACCUCUGAUUAUCAUUCAGGAUCUUCUUCCUCAGAUGAAGAAACAAGUAAGGAAGUGGAAGUGAAACCCAAUUCGGUGACUGCAACACCAAGCCCAGUGUACCAGAUUUCGGAACUGAUAUUCCCACCUCUUCCAGUGUGGCAUCCGUUGCCCAGAAAAAAGCCAGAAAUGUACCGAGGGAAUGGCCAUCAGAACCACUACCCUCCUCCUGUUCCAUUUGGUUAUCCAAAUCCGGGAAGGAAGCAUAAACCAUACCAUACAAUUCCAGUGACAUGGGUACCUCCUCCUGGAAUGCAUUGUGACUGGAAUCACUGGAUUAAUCCUCACAUGUUAGCACCUCACUAGCUUCUUUUGAUUUUGUGGGUGUCAUGUUGAGAGAAAGGUAGAAUAAACCU